rnacentral:rRNA from 1 species
GUGCACUUUUCCAGUUCAGGCCAGCAUCAGUUUUCCCCGGGGGAUAAAGGCGGCGGGAACGUGGCUCUCUUCGGGGAGUGUUAUAGCCCGCCGUGUAAUACCCUGGGGGGG